rnacentral:lncRNA from 13 species
UGAAGUGGAGGAUAAUGAAGAGGGGACGGAAGUAGAAAAUGACGCCGAGGAAAGAGAAGUCAGAGUUGCUUCGCCAAAGUAUGAUGAUGAUAUACAUUAUGCCAAUACCUUACCAUGGAGGGCAUAAUUAAUAUCACUGGGCGGGGAA